rnacentral:rRNA from 1 species
UAGGGAAUCUUCCACAAUGGGCGCAAGCCUGAUGGAGCAACACCGCGUGAGUGAAGAAGGGUUUCGGCUCGUAAAGCUCUGUUGUUAAAGAAGAACACGUAUGAGAGUAACUGUUCAUACGUUGACGGUAUUUAACCAGAAAGCCACGGCUAACUACGUGCAG